rnacentral:rRNA from 1 species
ACUCCUACGGGAGGCAGCAGUGGGGAAUAUUGCACAAUGGGCGCAAGCCUGAUGCAGCCAUGCCGCGUGUGUGAAGAAGGCCUUCGGGUUGUAAAGCACUUUCAGUUGUGAGGAAGGUGGUGUCGUUAAUAGCGGCAUCAUUUGACGUUAGCAACAGAAGAAGCACCGGCUAACUCCGUGCCAGCAGCCGCGGUAAUACGGAGGGGUGCGAGCGUUAAUCGGAAUUACUGGGCGUAAAGCGCAUGCAGGUGGUUUGUUAAGUCAGAUGUGAAAGCCCGGGGCUCAACCUCGGAACUGCAUUUGAAACUGGCAGACUAGAGUACUGUAGAGGGGGUAGGAAUUUCAGGUGUAGCGGUGAAAUGCGUAGAGAUCUGAA